rnacentral:rRNA from 1 species
UACGUAGGGCGCAAGCGUUGUCCGGAAUUAUUGGGCGUAAAGAGCGUGUAGGCGGCCAUUCAGGUCAGCUGUGAAAACUCGAGGCUCAACCUCGAGACGUCGGUUGAAACCGUUUGGCUAGAGUCCGGAAGAGGAGAGUGGAAUUCCCGGUGUAGCGGUGAAAUGCGCAGAUAUCGGGAAGAACACCCGUGGCGAAGGCGGCUCUCUGGGACGGUACUGACGCUGAGACGCGAAAGCGUGGGGAGCGAACAGG